rnacentral:rRNA from 1 species
GGAAUCCGAAAGGUGACCGACCCUUCGGGGAGCGGUGCACAGGUGUUUGCAUGGCUGUCGUCAGCUCGUGCCGUGAGGUGUUAGUUAAGUCCUGUAACGAGCGCAACCCUGCCGUUAGUUACAUGUGUCUAACGGGACUGCCCGGCUCAACUGGGAGGAAGGUGGGGACGACGUCAAGUCAGCAUGGCCUUUAUAUCCUGGGCUACACACACGCUACAAUGGUCGGUACAAUGGGUCGCCAAGCCGCGAGGCGGAGCCAAUCCUCCAAAACCGGCCUCAGUUCAGAUUGUAGGCUGCAACUCGCCUGCAUGAAGUUGGAGUUGCUAGUAACCGCGCGUCAGCUAUAGUGCGGUGAAUACGUUCCCGGGGCUU